rnacentral:rRNA from 1 species
CCCUUAGAUGUUCUGAACCGCACGCGUGUUACACUGAUGCAUUCAACGAGCUUUACCUUGGCCGAGAGGCCUGGGAAAUCUUUUUAGCAUGCAUCGUGAUAGGGAUUGAUUAUUGCAAUUAUUAAUCAUGAACGAGGAAUUCCUAGUAAACGCAUUUCAUCAAAAUGCAUUGAUUACGUCCCUGCCCUUUGUACACACCGCCCGUCGCACCUACCGAUUGAGUGGUCCGGUGAAGUCUCGAGAUUGUGGCAAUCUCCUUUAUUGGAGUUUGACUGCGGGAACUUGCCUAAACCUUAUCACUUAGAGGAAGGUGAAGUCGUAACA